CCUUACAUCAUCACAUCCCAGCUCAUUACUGGGGACUUGAAAAGGAGUCCCGCCAUUGUUGUUCCGCAGGAGGGCUGUAAGUCACUGUACUUGAGAGGCUUCCCCGGUAGCUAUCUGGUUUACCCAGGCUUGAGAGUCCCUCCCUUGCUGUGGUCCAUAGGGCAAAGUUAAUUGCUCAAAGGAAGGCCAGCCUGCACUUUCCUCAGAUGCCCCCAGGGAGGACAGAGGAAUACAGGAGGAAGGAAGAGGGAAAAUGUGCCUUUUUCCUCUUUUAUGGCCAUGAAGCUCACUGAAUCCAAAGUAAAACUCAUAGGCUUGACCCUGGUGUCCUCAGUAGAAGGGACACUCUAUAGCCCCUCCAAGAUGCCUCCCGGGAUUCUGUCGGAACCGCCCUGGAAAAGCAUACUGCCCAGGCCUCCUAGGGAAGAUAAUAUACUGCGGAAGCCUUGAUUCCUGUCCCAAGAGUGUGUAAAAGAGGCCAACAAAAGGAAGCACCAUAUUUAUUUACUCAGGCAGUGGGAUAGCUCAAGGGCACUGAAAUGUAAAUACAAACACAUUUCCAAUUUAGCCUCUGGUGAUGGCUUUCCUUGUAUCUUUUCCUUUGCUCAAAUACAAACUACAUUGGGGCAGUAGCUGCUGAAAGGCGCUCAUCUACUGAAACACCCGAAUCGGGGUACGCUUGAUUGAAUUAAAGCAAUUGUUCAUCCCAUAGCUGAGCUCCCUGGCCUCUAUGAAUGUUAUUGCCACCUCCACAGCCCGUUAGUUCCUUGUAUUCUCAGAUGAGAUCUCACCACCCAUCUUUCCUCCCAGGAUCUUUGUUUUCUUAGCAGAUUAAGUGACCGUGAGCCUUGCCAUUCUUCCUGAUGGAAACGGCGGUUAUAAACCUACAGAGAUAACUAUACACCCGCCAGUGGCUCGGCGCUGUCUUUUGCACUUGGGCACGUUGCAAAAAUUACCUGUAACUCACGCCGCAACCCUUGAAGUAAUGGAAAGGAGAAAUGCCCACAGAAUAAUGGAGCUAAAUACCAUUUGUAGAUCAAACAAAAUCCAUUAGAAAGCAAACAAGUUGCUUAAAAGAAACAACCCACAGCGAUGAUGGUAUGUCAAAGGGACACAAGAGCCAUUUGAAAGAGCUCCCAAGGGCCAAAGCUGGAAGGAUUUGAGUAACCAAAUAUAUUAAGAUAGGCCCUGAAAGGAAUCAUUCCCAUGAUGCCUUGAAUUAAGAGAAGUCUCCCUUUCUAGCCAGCCAUGAGGAGAGAAAGAAGAAUCCUCACACAAGUGUCUCUCAAUGGUGUGAAGAGGAACUGAAAGCCAUGAUAAGGAGAAGGUGAAUGUCUUCCAGGCCAUUGGAGAUGACAGAGGGAUGUGGAUUAGAGACGAACAGGACUUUCUGUCCCUUCUAUUCAAAUUGAAAUUCAUUUGAAUGAAAAAGAUGGCUGUGUGCCAGGCAGUGUAUCAAUUACUGCCAUGGAUCUAGACUCUAGACGAAGUAAGACACCUUCUCAGUAAAAGGACUUCAGUUCAUCAGCUGGUUCGGCUGCGACUCAUGUACAGACAGAUACUAAAACGCGUUUCUGAACACCAUCCGAAGCUUGUCCUUUUUCCCGUGAUCCCUCUCCCCCUGAGCAAGUCAGCCGCUGCGUGCGACCAGCCGCCCGGGGAGUGGGGCGCCGCGACGUUCGCAUUGCAGGCUGUCGGCACCGGAGCAGGGUGAGCUUUUCUGUAAGUUCGAGAUUAUUUCAAAA